GAUCGUUUCAAGAACUAUCAUUUGAAGUAUCAUCAAGCUUGGAGGAGGAAAGGUAUACGUUUGGUAUCGAAGAAUUGAGUGUUAGAGGUAGUGGAAGAUAUAAAUCACCAAAUUUAUGCUCUGAAUUAGAAAGGUUGUUGGACUAUUGUGAAGACUCCAAUGUCCAUGAAAAACAGACAUUAUUAAUGAGUUUACAUGGCAUUCUGAUAAUAAAAAGAAUACUUUGACUCGGGGAAUUAAAGAAAUUUUCCCACAUUCUACAAAAAAGUAAAUAGUUGUUGGAUGUGAAAAUAUGUAUCUCCUUUUGAGAGUAUAAUGUAGUAAAUAGGAUUAUGGAACAAUAUAAUUUAUAAAUGUAUUAUAGUAAUUUCUUGGAAUACUGUACACAACCUUCA